GGGGGCGCGGCAGCCCCGUGAGGGGCUCGGCGGGAGAAGCCUCAGCCCCGACCCAGCCGUGACUUUCCGAAGCUGCAGCCGGCGGUGAGAGGAUAUGUGCCGGCCCUAAACCCACGGAGGAGCGUUCUCCGCUGGAACCUCCGCCUUCCCCUGACGCCACCGAGGCAGCUGGAGGUGCGGCCCCCCGCCCCGCCGCUCCGGGGCGAUCCAGGCCGGGUUUCGCGGGCGGUCGGGCCCGGCCGGCGGAGCCGCGCUCCCCGCGGCAGAGCAAUCGCGGCCGGGGCGCGGUGGUGCCUGCGCCGGGCCGCGCUCUGGAGGGGGCAGGGAGCUCCCAGCGGGAGCCGGGAGGGAGGACGGUGUCCUCGGCCCGCGUCCGCCCCGGGAGCGAGCAGCAUUCCGAGUUGGAGCCGGCUCGCCGCGCCGUGCCCGGGGCUGUUCCGCCCCUCCCGCCGCUGCUGGCGGCCGCGGGGCGCGGGCGCUCGGGCUCUUGGCGGAGCGACCCGGAGCCGGUCCCGGGUCCCGCGGGCUAUUCCCGCAUAUUGUUUCCCUGAGAAGUGCCGGGAGGCGGGGGGUGGGAAGGGGGAUCUGUCCGCAGUUGCUCCACGUGCAUCAAUAGUUGUCAGUAACAUCAAACUGACGUCAUCCUCGGGUAAAAAGAUCUCUCUUUUGUUCUCAUUCCCUCCCACCACUUCUCCCCCCCUCUGCCACCCUCCCCCGCCCCCCCGCCCCCCCUCUCGCCUUGAAAAUCAAAAGCCAGAACAUUUGCAAAAAAUAAAAAUAAUAAGAACUCCUCUCCCCCACGUUAAUUGCAAUGCAAAGGGAGAUGUUGCAUUACGGAUCCUGCCUGGGCUGUGCUGGGCUCUAAUGAAUGCGCCGAGCCUUUGAUCUGGGUGAGUCAGUUGGGUUCAGUUGUGCCGGAAGGUUAGUUGCACAUCCUGGCUGAUCUGAAAUUCGAUCAGCAGAGGGGGCAAAGAAAAAGAAAAGCAUUUUAAUGGGAAUCAAUAGAGGAUCAUAGGGUCCUGGAAGGAAAUAGGUGUUGAUUAAAGAUGCUGUGUGGGUUUUGUUGGCUUUUUCUUUUUUUUCUUUUUUUUUUUUUUUCCCCGUGUACACGACUUGUUUAAAAAUAAAUAAACACCAAAAGCAGCCCGGCAGAAACGAGAGAGGGCAGGCUGGAAAACAGCUUUCCCAAUCACCCGUGUGUUUGUGUUCCAGGGAGGCAGUCAGCAGACCGAGAGUUUGUGCAAUGCUUCAAGCUACAGCGCGCAAAUUUAAAGCAGUAGGCUCCAAAGGAUAACUCCGGUUCUUACUGCACUGCAUUUCUGUGCCUGAGCUGUUUACUAGUGCAUUAUGAAAUAAACCCAAAACAUUCCUCUCCCUCUCUCCAAGCCAACUUGUUUCUUCUCCCCUCCCCGCUCUCCCCUCCUUUCCUGCCUGCUGCUGAGCGACAGGGAUUCGUGAUACCCGACACGAAGGGGUAAACCUGUUUUGUUGAGGUCACAGGGUUUUAUAGCUAAACUUUCUAGGCACGUUUUCACCGUUUAGGAAAUACCGAGCUGGAACGUUCUGUGUAUGUUGCCUGACUUUACGUGAAAAAGAGGGAAUUACGAUUGUGUUGAACAUUUUUUCACUCAGAAGGAGGUGUAAUGUGGGUUUUACAAAAGCAACCAUGCUGAGGUGAUUCCCCAGGGGAAGAAAGCAAGAGCCUUCGUUGUCCCAAUGCUGUGUACUUACAGAGCCAUGGACUGCUAUUCCAGUCCCUCCAGUCCACGACCGAGGACGCCAAACUGGUAUUGCCAUACUGGCCGCCUCCCCAGCAAACUUAUAUAUUCCCAUGUUCCUGGGAACCAUUCAGGAGAAGAUGUCAGGAUGUUAGUCCUGGACUGACAGGUCCUCCAGGGCUCUACAGUUACACUCACUCUGGAAUAGAGCAGAAGUUCAUCUUCUGGGGCUACAAGAGAGAGAAUGACUUCUUAAGCAAGAGGAUUUGUGGAAUAUUAUGCAUAAGGAGAGAAGAAAGCUGAGGUGCCUGUCCAAGCCAAAGUCACUUUGCAUCAUUUCGACUCUUCUAGAAAGAUUGUGGUGGAAAGGAAAAUUUCACAUUUCUUCCUCUCACUCACCUCCUUAAAACAGCACAUUAGGGCCUUAUUAAAAAAAAGAGUAUUUAAAAGUCCA